GGACAUUCAGGAUCACCACACGAAAGGGCCAUUUCCAUGCUUCACACGCAUGAGGUCACUGGUUCGAAUCCAGUAUGUCCCA
rnacentral:tRNA from 1 species